AACCACUGCGCAGGUUUCUUGCUACUGGAAUUUCAACGCGUUCACAGUAAUAUUGAAACCUAGACCACGCAAGUUCGGCGAAGGGCUUGCGUUAACUGGGCCCUCCAUCGUCAUCGAUUUACCGAUUUUUCGAUGGACAGCACUCCCUGUCUUCGAUCAUCUCGUCGAGCUGGAGGCACACAGAGGCAAAGCGGGGUGCAAAUUCACAAAGAAUGAAGCACUCCAGGGUGGCCUCUUUCAGUUAACUGGCUCAUAUCCUGUCUACCAUCUGUUGAUCUUAGGUGUUUCGACCAUAUAGCUUUGUGAUGACGAGCUCGCUUGCGGACCUGUCGUGUUAGAACGAGGCUUCUCGCAUCAGUUAUCAAAUUGGAGCAAAGUGGGGACACAAUUCUCUCCAGCAGUAUUCGUGCUCGAGAGAUCAGCUUUCCUUGAGAUUAUACAGCUGUUGAUGUGGCAGCCGCUUGGUGUGCUAGUUCGAGCAACAGUAGAACCUAAUGUAACCCCAUGUAUUGACGGUACUCCCCAUGCACGAAUGUUGAGUUACUGCACUCAGGUUCGGAGAAGUUAAGUUUGGGUUUCGGCAAUGUGUAGUCAAUAGAUUCGAAAACGUUUGCUUCUAUUUUAGAAGUCGGGUCGAAACGAAACGACGAACUUUGUUGUCGCUGCGGCUUGACAGUGCAGGUUGAGGCCCCCGCAUCAAAUCUCAGGAAGUUGAAGCCAUGGCGUCUGAUUCAGAGAAGAAAUCUACGUGGGAUACAAUCAUCGAUUACGUCAUUCGAACUCUUGCCGAGCAAGUGGGACUGGGUAUUUUUGUUAACUUCAUUUGGUGGGUCAUAUUUACGUCUGUUUCGGUGUUGUGUUGUCGAGAACAUCAGAGGAGGAGGAGACGCGAGAUUUUGAUACUGGAUAGUGAUAUGAAGAAUGCUAUAUUCCGUGACCUGAUAAUUCGCAUGGACACCAAUCAGAGCUGCACGGAAGGACAUUUUGAUUAUGAAGUUGGUCACUCGACACCAGAUAAGACAGGUCUUAAUGCAAAGAUAAGUCCAUGUGAUGAUACAGAUCCGUGGGGUUCUGAUCUCAAUCUCACUCCCAAAGAGCCGGAUAUCGCAGUGAAAGAUGUCUCUUCUGAAUCUUCUCGACCGCAUGAAGUGGAACCUACCGCGAAUAGAAAUCAGUAAGAAAACUUGAAAUCCAGGACAUUCCUUACGGUGCUGUAAUGGGUUCGAGCAGAUCGACUUCAGACCUGGGUCUCGACUUUUGCAGUCAAAGGUGAUAUUAAUUGAUGACAACUUGGGGAAGCUAUGCCAAAUGUCAUUUGAUGACAACUGGGGGAAGCUUGUGCAAUAGCUGAUCAACAUGUCGUUGUGCAACUCAACAAUUUUCAAGCCUUCGUUUGUAGCGAGGGCACGCUAUCCCAACAUGCACCUAAUACAACUGUUUGGGAACCAUGGUUGGAGGUUAUGCCGAGCACAGUCGUCCUACUGACGCAAUCGAGGUUUAUGAUCAAGUUCGUCAAGAAGGUGGGAGGCCAAAUGAGGUGACUUAUUUGAGUAUUUUGAAAGCAUGCGCCUGCCCGGCUGGUGCAAUCUGGGGCAAAGAAAUUCAUGCACAUAGCAGGCGUAGUGGUUUUUAAUCUUACGUUCCUGUAUAGACUCGAGCAUUUAGGAUGCUAAAAUAUUCUUUUGGUGCAAUGGCGGAGCGAAAUGUAAUCACAUGGAAUGUAAUGACUGGUGGACCUGCACAAUACGGGUAUGGGCAUGAAGCGUUCUCCCUUUUCCUUCAGAUGCAAGAAGGGUUUGUACCAGAUGCAACUAAUUAUUUAAGCAUCCUCACUGCAACUGUACGCACUAGCGCGGGGGCUUUGCGAUGGGUAAAGGAGGUUCAUCGUCACACUUUCAAAGCUGGAUUUGAUUCAGACAUGUGUGUGUAGAAUGCGCUAGUUUACAUGUAUUCUAAGAAUGCCAAAGUUGAUGAUGCUAGGCUCGUUUUCGAUGGAAUGCUGGAUCCUGAUGUAAUCAGGGGGUCUGCAAUGAUUGGUGGACUUGCACAAAAAUGGGCUUGGACAUGAACCCUUUUCCCUCUUUCUCGAGAUGCAAAGAGAAGGAGUUGUUCCAAAUGUAACUACUAAUUUGAGAAUCCUCGCUGCAAGUGCAAGCACAGCAGCUCAAUAAUAGGUGAAGCAAGUUCAUAAUCAUGCUAGUUAAGCAGGACUUGGUUCUGAUUUUCGUGUGUGCAA